rnacentral:rRNA from 1 species
CCUACGGGAGGCAGCAGUGGGGAAUAUUGCACAAUGGGGGAAACCCUGAUGCAGCGACGCCGCGUGAGUGAAGAAGUAAUUCGUUAUGUAAAGCUCUAUCAGCAGGGAAGAAAAUGACGGUACCUGAGUCAGAAGCCCCGGCUAACUACGUGCCAGCAGCCGCGGUAAUACGUAGGGGGCAAGCGUUAUCCGGAUUUACUGGGUGUAAAGGGAGCGUAGACGGCAGUGCAAGUCUGGAGUGAAAGGCGGGGGCUCAACCCCCGGACUGCUCUGGAAACUGGACGGCUGGAGUGCAGGAGAGGUAAGUGGAAUUCCUAGUGUAGCGGUGAAAUGCGUAGAUAUUAGGAGGAACACCAGUGGCGAAGGCGGCUUACUGGACUGUAACUGACGUUGAGGCUCGAAAGCGUGGGGAGCAAACAGGAUUAGAUACCCCUGUAGUC